GUUCCUUCGGGAACAAGUAGAGCGGCGGACGGGUGAGUAACGCGUGGGAAAUUGCCCAGUAGUGGGGGACAACAUUCGGAAACGGAUGCUAAUACCGCAUACGCCCUACGGGGGAAAGCAGGGGAUCUUCGGACCUUGCGCUAUUGGAUAUGCCCGCGUCGGAUUAGCUAGUUGGUGAGGUAAUGGCUCACCAAGGCAACGAUCCGUAGCUGGUCUGAGAGGAUGAUCAGCCACACUGGGACUGAGACACGGCCCAGACUCCUACGGGAGGCAGCAGUGGGGAAUAUUGGACAAUGGGCGCAAGCCUGAUCCAGCCAUGCCGCGUGUGUGAAGAAGGCCCUAGGGUUGUAAAGCACUUUCAGUAGGGAGGAAGGCCUUAAAGUUAAUACCUUUGAGGAUUGACGUUACCUACAGAAGAAGCACCGGCUAACUCCGUGCCAGCAGCCGCGGUAAUACGGAGGGUGCGAGCGUUAAUCGGAAUUACUGGGCGUAAAGCGCGCGUAGGCGGUUAGUUAAGCUGGAUGUGAAAGCCCCGGGCUCAACCUGGGAACUGCAUUCAGAACUGGCUGGCUAGAGUACGAGAGAGGGUAGUGGAAUUUCCUGUGUAGCGGUGAAAUGCGUAGAUAUAGGAAGGAACAUC
rnacentral:rRNA from 1 species